rnacentral:rRNA from 1 species
AACGAACGCUGGCGGCAGGCUUAACACAUGCAAGUCGAACGCCCCGCAAGGGGAGUGGCAGACGGGUGAGUAACGCGUGGGAACGUGCCCUUCGCUUCGGAAUAUUCCCGGGAAACUGGGAGCAAUGCCGGAUACGCCGAAUUGGGAAAGAUUUAUCGGCGAAGGAUCGGCCCGCGUUAGAUUAUGUAGUUGGUGGGGUAAUGGCCUACCAGGCCUACGAUCUAUAGCUGGUCUGAGAGGAUGAUCAGCCCCACUGGGACUGAGAAACGGGCCAGACCCAGACGGGAGGCAGCUGUGGGGAAUCUUGGACAAAGGGCGCAAGCCUGAUACAGCCAUGCCGCGUGAGUGAAGAAGGCCUUAGGGUUGUAAAACUAUUUCGCCGGUGAAGAUAAUGACGGUAGCCGGAGAAGAAGCCCCGGCUAUCUUCGUGCCAGCCGCCGCAGUAAUAC